rnacentral:rRNA from 1 species
GACAGAGGAUGCAAGCGUUAUCCGGAAUGAUUGGGCGUAAAGCGUCUGUAGGUGGCUUUUUAAGUCCGCCGUCAAAUCCCAGGGCUCAACCCUGGACAGGCGGUGGAAACUACCAAGCUGGAGUACGGUAGGGGCAGAGGGAAUUUCCGGUGGAGCGGUGAAAUGCGUAGAGAUCGGAAAGAACACCAACGGCGAAGGCGGCGAACUGGAUAGGCACUGACACUCAACAACGAAAGCGUGGGGAGCAAACAGG